CAAGUAUCGGACACCGAGAAGUAAUUCCGAAAACAAAAUGGCCAUGGCAAAAACACUAUCCUCCUGUGGACUCAUCGCCUUGAUCGUCCUCAUGAGUGCAAUGAUCCGCACAGAGUCUAGCGACGUUGGAAUAAACCGCGGAGUAGCUCGUACGUGGUGCAUAGCAAACCCCCUUGCGAAUCCAGUGGCACUUCAAAAGGACCUCGAUAAUCUGUGCGGUGGUGGCAUUGAUUGUCACUCCAUUCAACCCGGCGGUGCAUGUUACGAGCCUAACACAUUAGUCGAUCACGUUUCCGUCGUCUAUAAUCUAUACUACAAGUCGCAUCAGUCCCGACCUGCGGCGUGUAAUGGCAGCAGCAACAUACCCACCGUUUCAGAUCCUUGUAAGU